GACGAACGCUGGCGGCGUGCUUAACACAUGCAAGUCGAACGGAAAGGCCCUGCUUUUGUGGGGUGCUCGAGUGGCGAACGGGUGAGUAAACGUGGGUAACCUUCCCCUGACUUUGGGGUAACCUCAGGGAACUUGGGCUAAUACCGGAUAAGAGCUCCCGCUGCAUUGUGGGGGGUGGAAAGUUUCGGCGGUUGGGGAUGGACUCGCGGCUUAUCAGCUUGUUGGUGGGGUAGUGGCUUACCAAGGCUUUGACGGGUAGCCGGCCUGAGAGGGUGACCGGCCACAUUGGGACUGAGAUACGGCCCAGACUCCUACGGGAGGCAGCAGUGGGGAAUAUUGCACAAUGGGCGGAAGCCUGAUGCAGCAACGCCGCGUGCGGGAUGACGGCCUUCGGGUUGUAAACCGCUUUCGCCUGUGACGAAGCGUGAGUGACGGUAAUGGGUAAAGAAGCACCGGCUAACUACGUG
rnacentral:rRNA from 1 species